UGGGGAAUAUUGCACAAUGGGGGAAACCCUGAUGCAGCGACGCCGCGUGAACGAAGAAGGUAUUCGUAUCGUAAAGUUCUGUCCUAUGGGAAGAUAAUGACAGUACCAUAGAAGAAAGCUCCGGCUAAAUACGGGCCAGCAGCCGCGGUAAUACGUAUGGAGCGAGCGUUGUCCGGAAUUAUUGGGCGUAAAGGGUACGCAGGCGGUUUAAUAAGUCGAAUGUUAAAGAUCGGGGCUCAACCCCGCAAAGCAUUGGAAACUGAUAAACUUGAGUAGUGGAGAGGAAAGUGGAAUUCCUAGUGUAGUGGUGAAAUACGUAGAUAUUAGGAGGAAUACCAGUAGCGAAGGCAACUUUCUGGACACAAACUGACGCUGAGGUACGAAAGCGUGGGGAGCAAACAGG
rnacentral:rRNA from 1 species